GCUGGAGUAGCUCAGUGGUAGAGCACUUGCUUAGCUUGUAUGAGGCACUGUGUUCAAAUCUCAGAACCACA
rnacentral:tRNA from 1 species